rnacentral:misc_RNA from 1 species
GUGUAUUGGGAAAGUUGGGAUGCAUGUUGUUAAGGAUGUGAGUUCUCAGGAAGUUGGGGUUUCAGAGAAUGAAGUACAUAAUCAAGGAGUUGAAAAUGUUGGAGGUUCCUCUGCAGUUUUCGGUUCUUCAGUAGUUGAGACCCAAGCUUUUGCAGUAGAGAAAUCUGAAUUGGUUGAGGAGGCUAUGGAUCAGGCCAAGGAAACAAAUGACAACGAGGGGGCUUCACUUCAGGAUUCAGAAACACAAAAGGUCUG